GAUCCUGGCUCAGAUUGAACGCUGGCGGAAAUGCUUUACACAUGCAAGUCGAACGGUAGAGGGGGCAACCCCUUGAGAGUGGCGAACGGGUGAGUAAUAUAUCGGAACGUGCCCAGUCGUGGGGGAUAACGUAGCGAAAGUUACGCUAAUACCGCAUACGAUCUAAGGAUGAAAGCGGGGGAUCGCAAGACCUCGCGCGAUUGGAGCGGCCGAUAUCAGAUUAGGUAGUUGGUGGGGUAAAGGCUCACCAAGCCAACGAUCUGUAGCUGGUCUGAGAGGAUGAUCCGCCACACUGGAACUGAGACACGGUCCAGACUCCUACGGGAGGCAGCAGUGGGGAAUUUUGGACAAUGGGGGCAACCCUGAUCCAGCCAUGCCGCGUGAGUGAAGAAGGCCUUCGGGUUGUAAAGCUCUUUCGGCCGGGAAGAAAUCGUAUGGGUUAAUACCCUGUGCGGAUGACGGUACCGGCAUAAGAAGCACCGGCUAACUACGUG
rnacentral:rRNA from 1 species